UUCUUGAUCUACCUCCGCGAAAGGACCUUGUCCAACAUCCCGAUUACCUCAAGACCUUUUAUGAGGAAAUGCAAUUAGACAAGCAGAGACAGUUACCAGAGGUAAAGCCUUAUUUCUCUUCGUCUCUAUAUAUUCGAGCCCUUGUCUCUCCAUCGACUAUAGCUUGGUUUCUAUAGAAAUCGAAUCUUCCCAGACCAUUCACAUUGAUGAGUCCUGUUGCUAAGGUAAUGCUGGAUACAUGGUUGGAUCUGUGUCCUUGUACUGAGAGAAGAUUGACAGAUGAUGAAAGUACAGAUCUAGCUAAGAGGGAUCGAAUAAUUAAGAAUAAGAUUAUUGAUAGAUCUUGAAUCAAGCUUCCCUAGGCUUUUCGGGCAAGAAGUAGCGAACCAGGUUUUAGGAAUACUAAGGAAAAUCUACAACAAUUGAAUUUCUUGCUCCUGCUGUUGUUUGAUUGUGAUUAUUGUAUGUAAUCUUUAUAAUUCUUUUUAAGCUAGAGUGUAUUAGGAAAAAUAAUGCAUGUAUUAGUUUUGUAUAUUACUAGUAUCUUGUUUGAUACUCUUUUUCAACCUAUGUAUAACUAAUGUUACACUCUAUUGUGUAUUAAGAUGUGCAUUGCUAAUAUCAUAGAUUUCUAGGUAUUAGCAAUGCAAUGGUUUUAAUGCAUGCAUUAACAUGAUAAAAGACUCAACUACCCUUCAAAAUCUUUGUUUACAUCUUUUCCACCAUAAAGUGGAGGGUAUCUUUGUAAAUAAUUUUUUUAAUGCAAUACAUACUAUUUUUAAUGCAUUAAAUCAAACAAUGCAUUAAAAUAAUCUAUGUAUAAUUAAUGUAAGCAUAACUAUACAUGCAUUGCUAAUACAAACAUUACUAAAUACACUAUAUUUAACAUUAUUCUUAUACACUCUCGACUUGAAAAGAUGUAAAUUUAGAGUAACUAUAAAAGUUGCAUUCUUCUAUUUGGCUCCUCCCUAGAGUUUUUGUCAUCCUGUGUGUUGAUAGGAUGAAACUUGCUAAAUCAAUAAUUUGAUUACUAAUAAAUUAUUAACUUUUUUUCGAUUUAGGUUAUUGGUUUUGAUUCAGUCUUGAACCGUCUUGGAUCACACCAUAGAAUUCAAAUCAAUGAAGGUAGUGCUUCUCUUCAACAAAUAUAGAACUGGAAUCGAACAUACAUUAGAUGCAUUGGAGAGAUAAUUUUCAAUUAAUUUCAUUUUGGUUUGAUAAAUUGAUAAGUAAUUUAAGAUAACUAUUAUUUAUAAUAAAAUGGACAAUUAAUAUGAGAUGAAGGAGUAAUAAACCAUUUUUCCAAUUGGAAGGAAUUGAGGAUUUAGACCCACAAAAUAAAGGAAUACUUAAGUUUGACAAAGCCUUAUAAACCUUUCUAAGUUGGGAUAAAUAAAAUAUAAAGUUGUGAGAGAUAAAUUAUUUGGAGAAUCCAACUAAUUAAGAAAAGUAAUUGAUCGCGGGACAAAAAAUGAAACAUUCAUAAGUAAUUGCCCACCUAAUGCAAUAUUAACAAGUUAGCAGCACUGCACUAUUUCUAUUCACUUUUAAUUGUCAUAAAUUUUUUUUUAGUCAAAUUAUAAAAAUUUUGACUAACAUUUUAUUAUAUAUUUUUGGCAAAUAUACUCAUUACCCCCUUGAACUUGAAGCUUUUUAUACGAUGUACACCUAAAUUAAAUUUCGUUUUAAUUACCCCGAACUUGUUUAUUCCUCCGUCGCAUACACCUUUUUAUGCAAAAAUUUCUUUUUAGUAUUUUAUGGUCUAUAUGGGCCAAUUUAAGUUUUUUUUUUAAAUGUAGUAAUAAAUUUGAUAAAAUAUAAUAAAUUUCGUAGAUAUAAUUGAUAAAUUAAGAACUGUAUUUGAAGUAAAAAUAAAUUUAUAUUGGUGAAAAUAAUCGUUAUAUGAGAUAUAAACGAUUUAAAAAGUAAUGAUAUUAUUAUAAAUUUUAUUUACAUAUAAAACAAACGACUAGUAAAUAUAUAUAAAUUAAACUUGGGUUGUUUUACGAAAAUAUAAAUUUGUUGACCAAUUUUUGUAUUCCAAAUCAUGAUUUUUGGGAAAUUUGACAUUUAUCUCAUAAUAUGAAAUCACGAGAUGAAAUAAACAGGAAAUUACAUAUUGAAACACUAAUAUGAAAUUGCAUGGCUAAACACCAAUUUCCAUAUUGGAUGAUAUGAAAUUGCAUGGCUAAACAUCUACAUCUUCAUAUAUACUUCCUCCGUCUCAUUUUAUGUGACAUCAUUUUCUUUUUGGUCAGUACCAAAAAGAAUGUCACAUUUCCUUAAAUGGUAAGUAUUUAAAGGUACAAUUCAUCUUUUAUCCUUGUUGGUCCCACUUAAUCAUAAAAUAAUACUCCAAUACAUUUAUGAGGAGAAAGAAAAGUGAGUCUACUUUUUAAAGGGCAAUUUGGUAAACAUUUCAAAGUUUUCAUUUAUUUCUUAAAUUCCGUGCCCCAUCAAAUAUUGCCACAUAAAUAGGACGGAGGGAGUAUAAAAAUUCAAACGACGACGUUAGAUAGAAAAGAAGUCCCACACGGCACGUGACGUUCCUUUUCUUCCCAAAAAGCAGCGAGAUAGGAGUGGACCUGGCAGUCCUCCUGCUAUGGCCGUUCCACUCUUCUCUGCCCAAUUUCACACUUCAAUUCUCACACAACCACUUCCCUCUUCUCGCUCUUUUUCCGUCGGAAAACUCUUGUCUUGCUCGUCGUCGUCAACUUCCAUGGAACAUCAUGAAUCGAAAUUCAAGGAAUUUCCUUAUGCAUCUGUUCCGCAUAGAGAGUUAAUGGUGGAACUUGUAUCGACUGUGGAGAAUCGUCUUGGAGAAUCUCUACUUCCUUGUACUCUGCCUUCUCAUGUGCAGUAUUUUGAGAAUGAAUCUGCUACUGCUCAUGCUUCUCUCUAUGUCAGAUCUGGAAAUUCCUCUUCUCAGGUACUCUCCGACUGAUUCUACUACUUAUUACCUAUUCAUUCAUUUCUGCACUUGUGCCAAUUAUAUGUAUUAGGGUAUGAUAUAGGAAUUACUUCCUGUUGGAUGUUUUGUUGAAUUAGUAUAUAGGAAUGGGUUACAUCUAUGUUAUAAAAGCUUCUAUGGAAACUCAAGCGGAUAAUCCAAUUCAGGCAACUAUAUUUAGCAAGACUGAGAUUCGAGUGAAUAUACUCCUUCUCAUCCCAUUUUAUCUUAAUUUUGUGUUGUUGCAUCACAAUGUUAUGAAAAACGAAAAGCGCAAAAAAACUUUAAAGUAGGCCGGGACUUUAAGCCUGAAAUACAAAUAAAGCUUGAGCUUUAAUGAAAAAAAGACACAAUAGGGAAAAAAAUACAAAUAUAUUAUAUGUAUCCAAGACUAAUAAAUAUAAGCAUGAAUAACAAAUCUAUGGACAAAGAAAUUGAUCUUUUUAUAAUAAAGUGUGAUACCAAUAGCUUAGAACCCUUAUUCGCAAGGAAAAGAUUGUCUUAGGGACUGAAUGACGACAAUGAAGUGCACAUUAAGCGAGGCAAAGUGCUCAACAUAUUUUGAGCCUUGCUUCUGGGAUUGAGCAUUCUUAAAGCACGCCUUUGACAACAUUGUUGCAUCACUCCUACGUGAGACCAAAAAAAUGCGCCAAGAAUUUUCUCCUAAUACCCUCCAAUAUGAAUGAUGUCACUGCUAUCUUGUACAUGGUGAAGAUAAAGAAAACAAGAAAUUAUUAUGUACUAUAGAAUAAUGAUUGAGAAAGCUAGAUCUUGUCCUCUAAUUUUAGUGGAUUUGGCUUAUACAGAAGAGUUAAUCCAUUACGAAUUGUGCUUUUGUUGAUUGGCCUUUUUACUAUGUAUGCUAAAUAUAUCAGUCUUUUAAUAAUAGUAACAUGAAUUGAAAUGCCAAAUACUUAAUUGUAUAAUGUGCUGAUGGGAGUUAAGAAGAUCAGCAGUACUUGUAUUACUCUGUGCAUCUGUGGUUUUCUCCAUCCAAUGAAGUCAGACAAGAUCUUUAUCAAAUCUGUUUUUUUUUAGCUAAUUUCAAAUUUAGUAUUUCUUGUUCAAGCCAUAUAUCUUGCCCUUUCUAGUAAAUAACAGUCUUAUAAUUCCUUUUAAUUGGACAUGGCUCUAAGAAAGGUGUUUGGAUUAUAGCUUAUUUUAAGUAGCUUUUGGCUUUUAAGUUCCUUUUUAUUUUUGAGGUGUUUGGGAAAGACAAAAAGUGCUUUUAAGCACUUAUUUUUAGGCGAAAAUAGUACAAAAAUAAGUUAAAAACCAAAAAUUGGGCAUGACCAACUUAUGACUUUUAGCUUUUAGCUUAUAAGCUACUUAAAAAAAGUCAAUCCAAUCAACCCCUCUGUAGAUGAAAAAAAGCAUCCUAAUUCUAUAAUAGGUUAUUAUAUGGGUUGUUAGUAUUCAAAAUGUUAACUUUCUCAAAAAAAAAAUGAUAUAAGCCAAAUGGCAAAUGUAAAAAUAGGCCCUUAAAGCAAUGUUGUGUCUCCUUUUGAGUUUUAAGUCUAUCAAUGGAUUCUGGUGUCUAGAGUCUAAAGGGCAUGUUUUGAAAGACAAUAAACAAAAGGGGUUGUCAUAAAAAUCACAUACCAAAAGGGGUUGUUUGUGAAUUGUACUGCAAACUGCCAUAUUUUUCACGGACGACCCCUAACGUCCAUUUGUUACAUUUAAAAAAUAUAAAACAAACGCAAUUCGUGAAAUGUGGUGCGAAUUCCCACUAAUUUUUUAAUAGUUUGUAGCAUGUUCUGUGAACUGCAUCUCAACUAGUUUUGCUGUGAUCUUGUCAAAGUAGUUUGAUCUCUGCUUGUUGCCCCUCCCCUAGGUUGAGGAGCUGUAAGGGGAAAAUUCUUAUGAUCUGCAAUCUCACCUUCUCACAUAAGCUUUCCCAACUUCAAUAUCUGGUGGCACUGAGUUCCCAUCUGAAUAGGUGCCGAGGUAGUUUGUGAACUAGUAUCUAAACUGGAACAAUAGAAGUUUCUUGCUCUGGUUUAAAAUUCAGUGCGCAUCUCAGGAAUUUCAUAGUGUAUGACCCAAUGUGAAUGGAUGACUUGAAAAUAUGUGAUUGAAGUCUGUUUUGUUACAGAAAAUCAAUGUAAACAGUGCUGUAGUUGUAGUAUGCAAUCUUGACUCUUCCUUUCAAUUGAAAUUGACUCACAAAAAUUUUCCUUAGUUUUUUCAUAGUAGGUUCCUUUGAUGAAUUUACCCACAAUAGUCAUUUGCAAUUAUUGGCCGAAUUCACGAAAUAGUCAUCAGCAGAGAAAAAUAUGGUUGGCUUACCGAGAUGAGUCUCAUGCCUGAUUUCAAUAGGAGCUUCGGCGGUUGAGGCAAUCGCCAAAUCAGCUUGAACCUUUCUGCGAAGGUUGGUUUCGAUGGAGCAACACCCUUACCUUUCCCUGCUAAAUUGGGAUUUUUCUGUUGGAGUUGAAUAUUGGGGUUUCUGAUCUGGGCUUGAAAGAUUGGUUAUAGCAGGAUUUUUAUCAGUGGCAGCAGGGUUAUGAUCAGUUUCAUUGAUGUUGGUCGCGGCAACCGAUUUCAAUUUUGAAGAGGGUGUGUCGAAAUCUGAGGACAAUUUUGGCUGAGGGGGUGUAUGAUUUUGGUGGGUGGAUUUCGAAUGGGCAGUGUUUUCCUGUUGAGGUGUUGCAUGGUGAUCGGAAAAAGAGUAGGCUGAGUGUUAAUGGCAUCUUGGAGGUUCUGGAGAAUUGUUGGGGGCAAGCUUUAGGAGCUUAUUACUGUCCAUGUGUUGUUCCUCUGAAGGAUUGGAAGAUAUAGGGGAUGAUGUUUUGUUGUUGUUGUGGUUGUUGGUGCUAGAAGGAGUUGAUUUUGGUGAGUUUGGGAUUUCUCGGGUGGAUUGGUUCAAACUAGCAAUUGGGGGUUGUAGGAGAGCAGGUGUGUUUUGCUGAGUUGUCGGUGUAGGAGAGGCUGCAGUUGGUUGAGAUGAGUAUGGAUUGUGGAUGUAUAACUAGUGUUUUAGGUGGGUUCCGAUGCACCAUUUGGGUGUUUGCUGAAAAGAUCAAUAGAUCUUCAUAGAGAGAAGCUAGAGAGAAUAUGCAUCCAAAAUUGACCAACCAAUCUAACAGCUCGAUUCAAGAAUUAUCCUUGUGCAUAAUUUGUAGUUUACUGCAUUUCUGCUAGUUGCGUUCACCCGAUAUCUUCUUGGGGAAGUUAUACAUAAGGACUGCAAAAGCAUCAUGGAGAUAGCAAGUAGGAAGUCUAAUUAGUUCAUCAAUCUAAUCUUCCUAUGCUUGUUCAUUCUUGAAUUUGGAUCUGGCUUCUGUUCAUUUAUUCUUGUCCAGUUCCAUUCCUCUGCUUAUAGUUAGUAGUUCCACUGAGAGUUCUUUGACAAGUCUUGUUUCUCUUUGAGAUUUAAAGUUCUUUUUCUAACGCGUAUAAUAAAAGAUAAACUGGGAACACACAGUUAACGAUUUCAACUUUCUCAUCAGGAGUAUAUGCAAGGUUAAUAUUUUUGCCUUUUCUAAAUUGUGACAGGUUGAUUUCAUACUUGGUAGUUGGGUUCACUGCAACCUACCCACAGGCGGAGCGUUGAAUAUUACAAGCCUUUCAGCAUAUUUGAGACCUUCAACUGAUGCACCAAACUUCUUAAUUGAAGUUAUCCGCAGCAGUCCAACAACUCUCAUCCUUAUUCUUGAUCUACCUCCGCGAAAGGACCUUGUCCAACAUCCUGAUUACCUCAAGACCUUUUAUGAGGAAACACAAUUAGACAAGCAGAGACAACUUCUCGAGAAAUUACCUGAGGUAAAGCCUUACUUCUCUUCGUCUCUAUAUAUUCGAUCCCUAGUCUCUCCAUUGGCUAUCUUGGUUUCUAUAGAAACCGAACCUUCCCAGGC
rnacentral:lncRNA from 1 species